CUUGAGUGAUUUUUUUUUUUUUUUGGUUCUUUUUUUUGGAGCUGGGGACUGAACCCAGGGCCUUGCGCUUCCUAGGUGAGCGCUGUACCACUGAGCUAAAUCCCCAGCCCCGGCACUUGAGUGAUUUUAUGGCUUUUCAUAUGUAGUUUCUUGUCAUUGCCCUAAUUCCCCAGCUAGGUUUAGCUUUGUGUGUUUGAAUACUUAUGAGCACGUGCUUCAGGAUUCAGAAGGAUCUUGUUAUGUAAUCCAAUUUGGCCUUCAUUUCCUGAUCCUCCUGCUAGGCGCUGGCACUACACAGAUCAACCUCAAAUCAGCAACGUAUGGAACUCACAUCGAUUCAGUCAACGCAGGGCUGGCAGCCAAACCUCAAACAGCAGCUUCAAAGGAGGUCGGACAGCCCUGUCCCCUCCCUCCUGACAGUGAUCAUCCGUCCUCAGCAUGGGGACUGAUACUUCCUCCUCCAGGCACAAGAGGCCGCUGCAGGACUCACGGCAGCCCACACCACACAGAAAUAAAUUCUUAGCCAC
ensembl:lncRNA